GACGAACGCUGGCGGCGUGCCUAACACAUGCAAGUCGAACGGUAAGGCCCCUUUGGGGGUACCCGUGUGGCGAACGGGUGAGUAACACGUGAGUAACCUGCCCUUGACUUCGGGAUAACUUCAGGAAACUGGGACUAAUACCUGAUAGGAAUUAUUGCUGCAUGGUGGGGGUUGGAAAGCUUCGGCGGUGUUGGGUGGGCUGGCGGCGUAUCAGCUUGUGCGGGGGGUAGUGGCUUACCAAGGCUUGGACGGGUAGCCGGCCUUGGGGGGUGACCCGCCACACUGGAACUGAGGGACGGCCCAGACGCCGACGGGUGCCAGAAGUGGGGAAUAUUGAUCAAGGGGCGGAGGCCGUAUGCAGCAACGCCGCGGGCGGGAUAGUGGUCUUCGGGUUGAGAACGGCAGUCAGCUGGAGCCAAGCUUUUAGUGACGGUACCUGCAGAAGAAGCACCGGCUAACUACGUG
rnacentral:rRNA from 1 species